AGGGCUUUAAUAGUAUGGACGACUUCGACUUCAAUAAUCCCGAGUCCGAUAGCUGACGAACCAAAAUCUAUAAAACAGAGAUUCAAAGAACGGAGUAAGCAUUUAAUGCUUAAUAAGUUUUAAACAAGACAAAGUGUUCUCAAUCACUAUUAUUGGUCAUUCAUUUCAACUGUUCGAUGAAGUUAAUCUAGAGCUUCAUUUCGAUCUAUAAUAUCAUUAAACGCAACACUUGGCUGCCACAUAUAUACUUUCGAAUAAUAAUGACCUAGAUGGUCAAAUAUUUCCAAAGCACAUUCUCACAUUUGGAGUUGUAAUAUUAAUCACAUUUACCUACCUCUUUGAUACUGAUAAUUCACCUCGAAAUCACUCCACUGAUGAGUAAGUAAUACGUACCUGAACAUCUUGAAUACAUAAUACUUAUUUGAUGGUAACUUAAUGCAGAUACUCAAUAUCAAAGUCUUACAUGAAUCCUAGCAUUUAGCCGUCGGGUCUUUAAAGCUCAGAUAUAGUACGAGCACGAAGCCUACGGACAUUAAUCAGGAUAAUACUCUCGCAUAAAGCCUGCGGGGUUUUAACCCGGAUAUAAUACUGACACAAUUGCCCUUCGGGACUUAUCACAUUUAUACACUUUCACAUCCAUCACGUUGGCCACUCGGCCCUGUCACAUAUAUACACUUUCACAUUCAUCACAUCGGUCAUUAGGCAUCAUCACAUAUAUACACUUUCACAUUCAUCACAUCGGCCAUUAGGCCUUAUCACAUAUAUAUACACUUUCACAUUCAUCACAUUGGCCAUUCGGCCUUAUCACAUAUAUACACUUUCACAUUCAUCACAUCGGCCAUUAGGCCUCAUCACAUAUAUACACUUUCACAUUCAUCACAUCGGCCAUUAGGCCUCAUCACAUAUAUACACUUUCACAUUCAUCACAUCGACUAUUAGGCCUCAUCACAUAUAUACACUUUCACAUUCAUCACAUCGGCCAUUAGGCCUUAUUACAUAUAUACACUUUCACAUUCAUCACAUCGACCAUUAGGCCUUGUCACAUAUAUAUACACUUUCACAUUCAUCACAUUGGCCAUUCGGCCUUGUCACAUAUAUACACUUUCACAUUCAUCACAUCGGCCAUUAGGCCUUAUCACAUAUAUAUACACUUUCACAUUCAUCAUAUCGGCCAUUAGGCCUUAUCACAUAUAUAUACACUUUCACAUUCAUCACAUUGGCCAUUCGGCCUUAUCACAUAUAUACACUUUCACAUUCAUCACAUUGGCCAUUCGGCCUUAUCACAUAUAUACACUUUCACAUUCAUCACAUCGACCAUUAGGCCUUAUCACAUAUAUAUACAUUCACAUCACAAUUAUCCAAAUAUACU
rnacentral:lncRNA from 1 species